rnacentral:rRNA from 1 species
AUUGAACGCUGGCGGCAGGCCUAACACAUGCAAGUAGAGCGAGCGGCGGACGGGUGAGUAAUGCCGGGGAAUUGCCCAGUCGAGGGGGAUAACAGUUGGAAACGACUGCUAAUACCGCAUACGAUUGGAUUGCCCAGGUGGGAUUAGCUAGUUGGUGAGUUAAUGGCUCCCCAAGGCGACGAUACCUAGCUGGUCGUGGCGGAUGGUCAGCAAGACUGGACCUGAGAAACGGUCCAGACUCCUACGGGAGGCAGCAGUGGGGAAUGUUGCACAAUGGGGGAAACCCUGAUGCAGCCAUGGCGCGUGUGUGAAGAAGGCCUUCGGGUUGUAAAGCACUUUCAGCGAGGAGGCGUUACUCGCAGAAGAAGCACAGGCUAACUCCGUGCCAGCAGCCGCGGUAAUAC